rnacentral:lncRNA from 1 species
UAAAUUAAAUGAAAGGGUAAAAAGGGGAGAGGUGGGAGUGGAUUCCCACUCCCACUCCCCACUCCAAAAAUGAGUGGGGCCCACGGAGUGGGAUUCCCAAUCCGUGGCCAUUUUAAGCAAGUAAACGCUGGAGUGGGAGGAAUCCACACUCCUCACUCUCACUCCAGCAAGUAAACACAACCUAAGUAAGAGAGAUAAGUGUAAACAAUAAUUUAUUAUUAUACCGAGACUUAUAUCAUUAAUUUGUUAGUUUUUUUUUUUUAAAAAAAAAACUGUAUUAACUUUAAUCUUAAUUCUUCAUUAACUAUAAUUUGAUGGUCAAAAUAUUAUGUUUAAAUUUAUGUUUAAAAAUGUAUCUUGAACCUGCCUCUAUAUAUAUAGAGAGAGAAGGCAGCAAUGUGCUGAAACGUCAUUUAUGAACACAUUAAAUUAAUUUCGGGAAUAACUUGAAUCUAUGAUAAAAAAGCCUGAACAUUGAUCCCACUCAACAACUAGUCCAACCUCCGAAAUAAGAAAGAAUUAUUGCAUUGGUAGAGCAUUUUACUGUGGUUGAUUCAUCAUUCAUUCUAGUUCAUAGAUAACGAUAGCAAUGGAUGUAUUUGUAACUUCACUAAAUUAUUGAUUGUCAUAAUUGGCUAAUUGAUUUUUGUCCAUCUAAUUCUUAAUUAAGAUUCUCUAAAAUAUUGUGAGAGAUCUUUAGCAUGCGUAUUCUAAGAGAAUAUGCAUGGUUAAAAAGUUUGAUUGACCUGACUCAAAUAUUUCGGGUUUUGACUCUAAUUUAAAGAUUUUGGGCUGGGUUUAAGUCUAAAUAUAAGGGUCCGAUUAAAAUUUGGGUCAGGGUUGGGGUCUUAAUAAGUUCUAAAUUGGGCCAAAAUUUAAAUGUUCGGGUUUUUUUUUCCGAUCGGGUCUUUUAUUGCCAAGUCCAAACCCGACUCGAUAAAUUGCCAUCCUUAUAGGAGAAUAGUGUCCCAAAGGCACCCUUACUUGUGUAGAAAUUAUAUUGAAAGUUAAAAAAAAAAAAGAAUAAAAGUCUAUUGCAAUGCAAAUACCACAAAAUUAAACUGUGUGGAAAUUAGGCCUUAGCAAUUCAAGGGCUUGGGCUGAACUUUUUUAAGCUCAGGACCAAGCCCAUUAGAGUAUAAGUAUAAGGGAUGGAUUUGGGCCGAACUUGGACUUUUACUUAUUUUUUCAUUUUUUAAAAAUUGUUAUACACUUAAAAUGAAUUAAUAAAAAUCAAGUUGUUAUAAUCAAUAAUGAAUUA